rnacentral:sRNA from 1 species
AUCUAUAUAUACUCAAUACACAAAAGGGAGGAUAGUUUCUUUGUCAGGCAUAUUUAAAACUAAGUGGGAUAAUUAAACUUUACCUUGUCAUGGAAGUACUUUUUUGGCGCUUCAGUAGUUUUAAUCUGCCCCACUGGCUCGUGCACUGUGAUGUAAACAAUGAUUUCAGUGCGCAGCUACUCGCGAUUACUACACAUCAGCUGUGUGUAUCGUAGUUUUUUUUUCAAGUACUGGCUUGCGAACGAUCUGAUGACACGAGAGAGGGGCGGGAUUUACUUUCUAGCGAUUGGAUGAUUAAGAAGUAACACUAAACCUAACUUCGAAAUAUUCUUUGCAACCGCCCGAACAGUUUCAUGAAACUGUCGGUACUAAACUUUAGUUGAUAUCAUUUUCAACAUGGAACCUUGGAGACAAUAUACACUUGAAAUUCAAGGCCAAAACAUUGCACCAGCAACAAAAAUAGAUUGGCCUAGAAGGGGAUUUCCAGGUCUUUCAUAAUAUAUAAACAAGGUUAUAUUUAGGCUAAGCUCGUAAUCUGGGACACUCGCUAGUGGUCCACUGACACGAUGGGUGUCUGUCUUAUGUGGACCAGGUAGAGAGUGAGUUAACACUGACACUAAGGACAACUUUCCUGGGGGCAUUUUUCAUCUUCGUCGAGUCUGUCUAUUCUCGAUCGAAAUGAAGCGUGGAGAACAAAACACAGGCUCUGACGUUUGUGUAUUAAACAUCGGUUAUUAGCAUAUUCAUUUGCAUGCGCAUUAAACGUGUGAACUUAUUUCUCUCUCCACGUCGAGGUCAAUUAUCUAUAAAUAAAGCUGCCUCUCUCUUGUUGCUUGGACGUCAAAACAAGAUAUAUAAGAAACAUAAACACAAGCAGCCGCUUUGUUUGAAUUUCUUUCAAUUUCUCCCCCAGACACCUGAUAAAUUUCUCGUUAAUUUUCAUGAUAAUGGCGUAUAAGUGAUGGUUCGGACACCAGUCGGGGUAGUAAAUGUAAAAUUCACCAUGGAUACGAACGGAAGCAAAUGCAUGAAUCAUUGUGUAUACUUGUAUUGACGGUAAAUUUCAGUCUCUUUGUGAAGUUUCUAUUCUUAUCCCUGCCACGCACCUGCACCGAUGUUGUUGGUUUGUAACGAGUGACAUAUAUUUACAACUCAUCAACAAUUGUUUACUCGAGCAUGAAGUUCAGAGGGUUUGUCGGUUCCGAUUACUAACUUAUGGAAAACGUCGAACGAUGUGUAUGUUCUACCGUGAGUCAGAGCCGAGAGCGAAAUAGAGACCAAGUUCGUACAGAAAAAAAUAUUGAAAAAAAUAUAAAAUAAGGAAGUAACAAAAUUGUUUUGUACUUUGAACUCGAUGGAAUUGAAUACGUUGAAUUAUUAAUUGUUGCACUCAAAUCAAAUUGUCUUUGAUGCGACAUCGUUAAAAUACUAAUUGAAAAAGAUAAGUGACGAUGCGGACUUUUAUAUCAGUCUCCUUUUUAUAUCCAUUGAUUUAUCAUACUCACUGUUACUUGUUACCAAUUUUUUUUUUAAAAACCCCACAACAACAG